AGACCAGUCUCAGUCCAAGCCGAUCAGUCCCCUCACUCCGGCUCCCCCAGGUCCGAGGUUCCCCCGGUUCAAGUAACACUUCAGUACAGAUGAAUGUUCAAGUAUUGUGCGGGGAGACAGCGGAAGGGGCCAGGGGGCCCAGCGGCUGCCAGCCGGGCACAAGCUUCAGGUGAGAGCUGGCGGCAGGAACGCAGGUCUAGGCGGCGAAGGCGCGGGCAGCGGCGGAACAGCGGGAGGCAGUGGUCCGUGAGGCGGUGGCAACCUGAGGGGGGCGGCAGUGGCGGCGGAGACCACGAAGCUGCUACCUGCAGGGCGAGAACUUCCAAACCUGGAUCCUUCCAGCAUCUGACCUGUACAUGCACCUGCCGUCCUGCUAGCUCCUGACUGGCCCACAGGCCUUUCGGACCAAACAUGUCAAACCUGAGCACUUCGCGUUCCUGGAACCUGCUCCUCCUCUGGUAUUCCCGAGCUUGGGGAAUAGCGCUCCUGCCCACCCAGGUUUGUGGGCCAGAAACUCAGCUGAAGAGUCGUCACCCUGCUGCCCAGGCUGACUGGGAGCUCUGCAAGGGCCCAGGCCCACACUCUGAAGAUAUAAAGUCUGUGCUUUCAGUCAAUAUUUGUAACUGAACGAAUAAUACAGGUUACAGUUAGGGCACUGAGUAGUUUCUACUUCCUGGGUACUGUCCUUGGUUCUUUAUGUACAUUAGCUCAUAAAGACACUACGACUUUGGGGAGAGCGUGUGCUCUGAAUUGUGUAAGACUAUUGAAUCACAGACCUGUACCUCUGAAACAAUUAAUACGUUAUAUGUUAAAAAAAAAAAAAAGAAGAUAGUAGGAAUGGAAAAAUG